GGUGGACAUGUGGUUUAUUCGAUGCAACGCGAAGAACCUUACCUACUCUUGACAUCCAGCGAAUCCUUUAGAGAUAGAGGAGUGCCUUCGGGAACGCUGAGACAGGUGCUGCAUGGCUGUCGUCAGCUCGUGUUGUGAAAUGUUGGGUUAAGUCCCGCAACGAGCGCAACCCUUAUCCUUUGUUGCCAGCACGUAAUGGUGGGAACUCAAAGGAGACUGCCGGUGAUAAACCGGAGGAAGGUGGGGAUGACGUCAAGUCAUCAUGGCCCUUACGAGUAGGGCUACACACGUGCUACAAUGGCAGAUACAAAGAGAAGCGACCUCGCGAGAGCAAGCGGAACUCAUAAAGUCUGUCGUAGUCCGGAUUGGAGUCUGCAACUCGACUCCAUGAAGUCGGAAUCGCUAGUAAUCGUAGAUCAGAAUGCUACGGUGAAUACGUUCCCGGGCCUUGUACACACCGCCCGU
rnacentral:rRNA from 1 species